rnacentral:rRNA from 1 species
AGAGUUUGAUCAUGGCUCAGAACGAACGCUGGCGGCGUGCUUAACACAUGCAAGUCGAACGCGAACGAGUUCUUCGGAACUUUAGUAGAGUGGCGCACGGGUGAGUAACGCGUAAGUAAUCUACCCUGAUAUCUGGGAUAACAAUUCGAAAGGAUUGCUAAUACCGGAUACGUUGAUUUAUCAAGAAAGAUGGCCUCUUCAUGAAAGCUAUUGUAUCGGGAGGAGCUUGCGUACCAUUAGCUAGUUGGUGGGGUAAUGGCCUACCAAGGCAACGAUGGUUAGCGGGUCUGAGAGGAUGAUCCGCCACACUGGAACUGAAACACGGACCAGACUCCUACGGGAGGCAGCAGUGAGGAAUAUUGCGCAAUGGGGGCAACCCUGACGCAGCGACGCCGCGUGGAUGAUGAAGGCUUUCGGGUCGUAAAAUCCUGUCAGAUGGGAAGAAAUGGUUCAAGGUCAAUACCCUUGUUCCUUGACGGUACCAUCAAAGGAAGCACCGGCUAACUCCGUGCCAGCAGCCGCGGUAAUACGGAGGGUGCAAGCGUUGUUCGGAAUUACUGGGCGUAAAGCGCGCGUAGGCGGCUUUUUAAGUCAGAUGUGAAAGUCCACGGCUCAACCGUGGAAGUGCAUUUGAAACUGGGGAGCUUGAGUACUGGA